rnacentral:rRNA from 1 species
GACGAUAAGACCCUAUAAAGUUUAUACAUGGAGUUAAUCAAGAGUGAUUUGGAAUAGUAAAGUUCAUUAUUAGCAAGAUGUUUAGUUGGGGUGACUAGAAUAUAAGUUAUAUAACUGUUUUUUGUUUUAAUCAGAGAUAUCUGUUUAUAUGGUCCCUUUUUAGGAUUAGAGAGUAAAUUACUUUAGGGAUAACAGCGUAAUUUUUUUUAAGAGUUCUUAUCGACAAAAGAGUUUGCGACCUCGAUGUUGAAUUAAAAAUUUCUUUGUGGUGUAGCAGUUACAAGAGAAGGUCUGUUCGACCUUUAAAUUUUUACAUGAUUUGAGUUCA